rnacentral:snRNA from 1 species
AGGUAGAAUAAUCUGGUCGCAUCUGUCACCCCACUAAUGACCAGCAUUGGACUCUGAUCUGGCUGGCCAGGCAGGUGUCGUCUUUCUCCCUCACUGCUCCGUGUGCGCCCUCCCAAAACUCCUAGCGCAUGCUCAGAGAGAACACCUUCCUCUAUAGAAGAGGACCAUCCUUCAAUAGUCAAGGGUAUACACGUGGCUGCACUGCCCCUGGGAGAACCUCCACACAAGCUUACAAAGUCAAAUGCCACCUGGCCCAGUCUGGGGAAAACAUGAACCCACCCACCACAUGACUUUGU